rnacentral:rRNA from 1 species
UACAGAGGGGGCUAGCGUUAUUCGGAAUUAUUGGGCGUAAAGGGCGCGUAGGCGGCUCUGCGUGUCUUCCGUGAAAUCCCUCGGCUCAACUGAGGACGUGCGGAAGAAACUGCAGGGCUCGAGUCCGGGAGAGGGGGGGGUGGAAUUCCCAGUGUAGCGGUGAAAUGCGUAGAUAUUGGGAGGAACACCGGUGGCGAAGGCGGCCCCCUGGACCGGUACUGCACGCUGAGGCGCGGAAAGCGUGGGGAGCAAACGGGG